rnacentral:rRNA from 1 species
UACGUAGGGGGCAAGCGUUAUCCGGAUUUACUGGGUGUAAAGGGUGCGCAGGCGGCCUGUUAAGUCAGCGGUAAAAGCCCGGGGCUCAACCCCGGCGAGCCGUUGAAACUGGCGGGCUGGAGUUGGAGAGAAGUACGCGGAAUGCGCGGUGUAGCGGUGAAAUGCAUAGAUAUCACGCAGAACUCCGAUUGCGAAGGCAGCUUACUAAGCCAUAACUGACACUGAAGCACGAAAGCGUGGGGAUCAAACAGG